AUUGAACGCUGGCGGAAUGCUUUACACAUGCAAGUCGAACGGCAGCACGGGGGCAACCCUGGUGGCGAGUGGCGAACGGGUGAGUAAUACAUCGGAACGUGCCCAGUUGUGGGGGAUAACGUAGCGAAAGCUACGCUAAUACCGCAUACGAACUGAGGUUGAAAGCGGGGGAUCGCAAGACCUCGCGCAAUUGGAGCGGCCGAUGGCAGAUUAGGUAGUUGGUGGGGUAAAGGCUCACCAAGCCGACGAUCUGUAGCUGGUCUGAGAGGACAACCAGCCACACUGGGACUGAGACACGGCCCAGACUCCUACGGGAGUCAGCAGUGGGGAAUUUUAGACAAUGGGCGCAAGCCUGAUCCAGCCAUUGCGCGUGCAGGAUGAAGGCCCUCGGGUUGUAAACUGCUUUUGUACGGAACGAAAAGGCUCUCGCUAAUACCGGGAGCUCAUGACGGUACCGUAAGAAUAAGCACCGGCUAACUACGUGCCAGCCGCCGCAGUAAUAC
rnacentral:rRNA from 1 species